AUUGAACGCUGGCGGCAGGCCUAACACAUGCAAGUCGAACGCUCUCGCAAGAGAGAGUGGCGCACGGGUGCGUAACGCGUGGGAACGUACCUCUAGGUACGGAACAACCCAGGGAAACUUGGGCUAAUACCGUAUAAUAUCUCCGGAUCAAGGAUUUAUCGCCUAGAGAUCGGCCCGCGUUGGAUUAGCUAGUUGGUGAGGUAACGGCUCACCAGGGCUACGAUCCAUAGCNGGUCUGAGAGGACGACCAGCCACACUGGGACUGAGACACGGCCCAGACUCCUACGGGAGGCAGCAGUGGGGAAUAUUGGACAAUGGGCGCAAGCCUGAUCCAGCGAUGCCGCGUGUGUGAAGAAGGCCUGCGGGUUGUAAAGCGCUUUCAGUAGGGAAGAAAAGCCGAGUGCUAAUAUCAUUCGGUCUUGACGUUACUUACAGAAGAAAGCACCGGCUAACUCCGUGCCAGCCGCCGCCGUAAC
rnacentral:rRNA from 1 species